rnacentral:sRNA from 1 species
UGUUGAAAAUUCCAAAAGCAGAGAUAUGUGUGUAUCGGCUUAGUGCGUUCAAAUGCACUUUUCACGAAAGAUUUCUUUGCAAUAUCCAAUUUGGGGCAGAUGGGCAGUUGUGAUUCAUCGUUCUAUUGAAUAGCUCAACAAUCAUCUUCCCCACAGCUGAAUCACUUCACUUCUUUAAGAUAUGAUAUAGAAGAGAGGGCUUUCAAA